UUAGUCAAUUUUACUCUGAGUAAAAAGGAAGUGAAUAUGAAUCAACGGCAUCUUAGUUGACGAGAAAAUGUAAAAAUUAAACCCAAUAUUCACACAUUUUCUAUAUUAACUUCAACAUGUAUAAAAAAAACAAAGCGUGAAAACUCCGUUGUGAAAACCUGAUCUCCUGAAAGAAUAUUACAAUGAGUACACUAUUGUAAUACAGCAUUGUGAAUUCUUUAUGCUUUAGUUCAUCAAGGUUACCUACCCGUCAUACCUAGCACCUUACUUAAGUUCAAUUUCACUUGUGCAUUCGCGUCAUUUAGUGCAGAAGCGAGUUGUAAUAUUGGGUGUAUGUUUUGUGUAAAUGUCUGAUUAAUCUCGUAUGUGUAUAAGAUGUGUUUGUGUGAGUUAAUUUACCUGCUAGUAAAGCGCUACAGUUUACCGCUAUUCAUUCACUGUUCAGCUUCAGCUCACGCAGCUCAAUCCCCGACAUUAUUGACUAUGACUGGAUUAUUUCAAACACUCAAACUAUUCUUUCUAGAUUUUUCUUCUUCACAAAAUAUGGUUAGUGCAUCGUUAAUAGCUUCGAGUAAUUUUUUAACAGUAUUCUUUAAUUCAAAUCGGUGCUAGUGUAGCCCACUAGAAAAUGUAUAUAAAUAAAUAUUUUAAACCGAAUUUAAAACAAUAUAGAUUACUUAAAAAUAAAACAGAAUGUAAACCACUAUACUUUCAAAUACGUUAUUUGAACCAGUUAAAAUGUUUCAUGUAGAUAAUUUUGACGAAUUAACACACUAUUCUACAUGUAGAUCCCGCCUUGAUUGACAGGGGGAGAGUUUUUUUUUUUACUGCGCAGACGGCACACACAGCCAAAGUGAGGAGAGAAAGUAGACAGAAAAAAGAGAGGGAAAAAAAAACCUAAGUUAUAAUUAUAUAUUAUAAAUAACCGUUUGAAAGAGUGAACCCGAAGGUCGAAACAGUACUACUGCCAGUUGGAGUGCUGAGGAACUUCAGUUUGCAGUUUUAUCCAACGUGAAACUUGGAGGAUGGAUCAGAGGUGCACAGGUAACAGGCCCCAACACAAGGAAGCACAUACUGCAGGUAUCCACCUUCCAGAUGACUAUCCUCAUGCUGUUCAACAACAGAGAAAAGUGCACUUUUGAGGAGAUCCAGCAGGAGACUGAUAUCCCGGAGCGGGAACUGGUACGAGCAUUGCAGUCUCUGGCGUGUGGAAAGCCCACGCAGCGAGUGCUUACCAAGGAGCCAAAGAGCAAAGAGAUUGAGAACGGACACAUGUUUACAGUCAACGACCAGUUUACCUCCAAACUGCACAGAGUCAAAAUCCAGACAGGUAGUGCCAUUACACACUUCUAUCACUGCUGGAGGAAAGAGGAAGCUGAAGAGGUGAUGGACAAAGACUUUUCACAUUGAAAGCCUUAUUCAUCAUUCAUCAAGCUCAUUUCUCAUCUGUCUGUUUAUGGUUAUAAUUCAUGUUUAUUAGUAAGUCUGAUCUAUCAUAACUCACUGGUGCACAUUUAAAAUAAAUAAUUAUAUAAAAUCAACAAUAACCUGGCACAUUUACCAGGCAGUCUGUUGCUGGCGUAGCGAUAGAAUGAGCAAGGGAGCAGCCCAGGCGUUCAUUAUUAAAAGUGAUUCAGACAUGUUAGCUGCAGUAUUUGUGAUUAGUGCAAGGGGAAGAAAAAGGCCCAAAUUACUGACAGUUGUGUAAGUUGAGUGGUGACGAUUGCGAUAUUCGCAUGCACGGUAAAGUGUAACGUAAGGAAAUAAAAAGCACACUUUAUAAUCUGGUGCUCCAGAUUACAGAUGCAUGUCCACACGUUGGAUCUGUCUCAUCACAUAGGAACAUGACACACAUCUAAUCUGAAAAUAUGUACAUACAUUUGCACACAAUGUUUACAUAGCUUUAUCAGAUCGGAGUCACUUUUAGAUUGAUGCCUGCUACCUUGAUGUGAAUGUAGUCAGAGAGACUUGUCUCAUUGUAGUGAUUGUAGAGGCCUUUGACAGAUUGAUUUUUUUUUUUCGGUUCUAAACACACCUGAGACACAAUCAGUACUGUGGAACAACAUCAGGUAGGCCUGUCACGAUAACUACUUUUGUUGGAUGAUAUAUUGUCCCAGAAUAAAUGAUAUUAGUGUCAUUUUAAGACCAUUUUAUGAUAUAAUGAUAAUAUAAUAGUAUAAUAAUGCAAGGACACCCAUUCAAAAAGCAACGAACUUUGAAUUCUUAAGAAUAUCCAGACAUUGGAAUUAGAAGGUCAGAAAAUAGUUUUUGUCUUCUGAUGAAAAUAUCGUUUAAAUGUAGUCGAUAUUUCGUCGUGUCAUAUUUAUUCAUUUUAGUCAAUUUUACUCUGAGUGAAAAGUCAGUGAAUAUCAGUCAACGGCAUUUUAGUUGAGAAAAUGCACAAAUUAAACUAAAUAUGAAUAUUUACAUAAUAUGUAAUAUGAAAUGUAAUAUGAAUAUUCCAAUGUAAUAUGAAUAUUCACAUUUUCUUUAUUAACUUCAACAUGUGUAAAAAAAAAAAAAAACAUGUGAAAACUCCCUUGUUGUGAAAACCUGAUCUCCUGAAAGAAUAUUACAAUGAGUACACUUGUAAUACAGCAUUGUGAAUUCUUUAUGCUUUAGUUUGUCAACGUGACUUAUCCGUCAUACCUAGCACCUUAAGUUCAAUUUCACUUGUGCUUUCGCGUCAUUUAGUGCAGAAGCGAGUUGUAAUAUUAGGUUUCUGUUGUGUGAUUAGUCUCGUGCGUAUAGGAUGCGUACGGCUAAAAUGUUGGUGAAAUUCAUUCUUAUGUAAACAAACACGCAUGUAAACACAACGGCCAAUAUUGAGGUCAUGUCCAUAUAUCGUAUGAUCAGUCAAUAACACAAUUAUCAUGAAGGGCGUAACUUCAAGCAUUCUGUCAUUCAAUAUAGGAGGGAAAAAACCUUGUUAAACAUCAGUAUUUGGGUUUGUUCUUCUAUUAUAAUGCCAUGCUGUAUGGUUCUGUUUAGCACACUUGUAAUAAAGUGCUUCAGUUGCUGCUAUCAGUGAUGUGCGGUCAGGGGAGGCACUGCCUCCCCUGUGUCAUCAUGAAAUGUAAAAAACAAAUGACGAUUAAAAAAAUAAAUAAAUAUUUGUCCACUGAUCUGUGAUAGAAAUGUAAUUAUUGUAUGAUUCCAAUCAUUCCAAUGAUUUUUAUAGUCAAUAUCGCUGAAUUUGUGUGUUUUCCUGUUCAAAUACGGGGAAAGACACAGAGGGAGGCAGCGAUGAGCUGAGCCUCCUCACAGAUUGCGCAAUUCCUCACAAACUGUAUUGAGCUGCUUAUUUUUUUUUUGCUCAACUUGAGCACGUGCAAUUGAUCUCUCUGUAUUUCACCAAUGUAAUGUUUGUACACAUUUUUAUUAUAUAUCCUCACAUUCCAUAGUCCAGGUCAUGUAUUUCACGUAUGUGUAUAAUUUAUUAGUCUUGCUGAUCUGACAUAACGCCGCAGUGAAAAAGCAGGAGGGGAGGCAGCCAGUACCUCUGCCUCACUGAAGGGGGCGUGUGUGAGCCUACGGGCUUGUUCUGCUAUUCUUCUUCUUCACGUAUUAGACAAAUGGCAUUGUGGGUAAUAUGCUAGCUAAAAAAGUCAAGUGCACAGCAUCAGUCUGUUCAUUUUUAUUUUUUGCCUUGACUGAAAAAUUGGAAGAGUGUGUGUGU